GAUGAACGCUGGCGGCGUGCUUAACACAUGCAAGUCGAACGAUGAAGCCCAGCUUGCUGGGUGGAUUAGUGGCGAACGGGUGAGUAACACGUGAGUAACCUGCCCUUAACUCUGGGAUAAGCCUGGGAAACUGGGUCUAAUACCGGAUAGGAGCGUCCACCGCAUGGUGGGUGUUGGAAAGAUUUAUCGGUUUUGGAUGGACUCGCGGCCUAUCAGCUUGUUGGUGAGGUAAUGGCUCACCAAGGCGACGACGGGUAGCCGGCCUGAGAGGGUGACCGGCCCCACGGGGCCGGAAACCGGGCCCAGCCCCCGCCGGGGGCCAGGAGGGGGGAAUUUUGCACAGGGGGCGCAAGCUGGACGCAGCGCCCCGGGGGGGGGGAGGACGCCCUUCGGGUUGUACCCCUCUUUCAGGGGGAAAGAAGGGAAAGGGAGGGUACCUGAAGAAGAAGCACGGGCUAACUAGGUC
rnacentral:rRNA from 1 species